rnacentral:lncRNA from 1 species
AUCUCCAACAGCAGCAACAUCGGUUGGAAGUGGUUGCACCGUGUGAUGCACCUUCAAGGUAUAGCCAUCAAUCGCGAUGUCAACCCGUCACUCUACGCGGCACUCCCAUCGAGCGAGUUCUCCACCCGCCCGAUGGUCACCGCGUCCUGAGUCUCAGUGUGUUUCGCAUGCUGAUUCUGACGACCGUCAACCUCCACAUUCCCCUCGA